rnacentral:misc_RNA from 1 species
GCAAACUUGGUCAUUUAGAGGAAGUAAAAGUCGUAACAAGGUUUCCGUAGGUGAACCUGCGGAAGGAUCAUUACCGAGUGAAGGGUUUUCCGUUCAGGAGCCCGACCUCCCAACCUGUGUCUACUUUACCUACUGUUGCUUCGGCGAGCCCGCCUGGACAGGCCGCCGGAAGGGGUGGUCAUGCCUCCCUUCUGGUCCGUUGCUCGCCGGUAGCCUACUCUUUAAUUCUUGUCAAACAUGAUGUGUCUGAGCAGAAUUUAUGAAUCAAAAUAAAAACUUUCAACAACGGAUCUCUUGGUUCUGGCAUCGAUGAAGAACGCAGC